ACGAAGGGAGCAGCAUCUCAGGAGAGCAUGGAGAACAUGUCUUCCAGAACUGGGAGGCCAUUAGGAGCCUUGCUCCUUCUCAGAGGCUAGGAGAGGAGAGGUUGCGAGCAGAGGCUACAAUAGGAACGAGUGUGAGCUCCCUCAGCUCUGCAAAGAUUCAAGCUUUCUCACAAGUCAAGCAAGACAAAGAAGAGUGCUGUCUCAGAUUACUGGUUGAGCAGACGUGGGAAAGGAAGAGGGGAUGUUUUCAAUUGGGAGUAUUUGGCAUUGUGAAGCAGAUGCAAAGAGAUGCUAAGGAAUGAUGGGAAUCCUGCCUUCUACUCACACCCCACUGGCUCCUGCAGUAAAUCAGCCAGGCUCAAUGGGCAGCAAAGAUUCACCUGUGAACAUCAAGUUUCCAUGGCUGUGCUACAAGGUCUGAUUUGGAUUUGGAAUCUGUUUUUCUCUAUCCACCAAAUGCCCUCACACUAGGAAUCUGUUUUUCUCUGUCCACCAAAUGCCCUCACACUAAAAUCCAGGAGCCAUCUUUGGUCCCCCUCCCCCUUGAGCUGUUUCUAUUUCUAGUAACUCACCAAGCAUUUGUCUCUUUAUGAUUACUUGACAUAAACAUUUUUUUUCGUUUUUACUGCCGCUGCCUUCCUUAUGAUAGUAUUAUUUCUCUUCUUAAAUCACUGCAUCAGCCUGGUUUCCAGUCCUCCAGCCUAGCUAGGAUCCAUGUGUUCAAUUCUCACUCCAGCAUUCAUAUGACAGUUAUGAUGAACUUGAAAACAAAGGCAAUACUUAACUGUCUAUAUUGCUCCACAGUGUCAGGGUAUAAUUACACCUCACGUAGUGUUGGUCCAUAAAAAUAUUAAUUGGGUAGACUGAGCCAAUGACCAAUGGAAGUUGUUGUGUGUACCCCAACCCCAAGGCUGAGAAAGUAUUUUCUGUUUACCUAUAACAAAGUAAAAAAUAUGCUUGGUACAUAACCAGAGUGGACCAGGUUACAGUGGAGAGUGUUGUGGAGUACUAGCUGAAGAUGUGCUACAUUUGUUUAUGCUGUGGAUAUUUGUUUAAUGAGGCAAAGAUGUGUAUCUCUGUGAA